UCCCUAGUGGCUCAGAGGGUAAAGCGUCUGCCUGCAAAGCAGGAGACCCGGGUUUGAUUCCUGGGUUGGGAA
rnacentral:tRNA from 1 species